ensembl:lncRNA
GGAGAAGCUACCGGAAGGCGCCGUAGCCCCACUGCUGCCUGCCCACCAUGUGACUUGGCUGACGACAGCACUGCGUGGAAGGGCCUAGAGGCUUCCGUCCUGGGCUGCUGGACAAGUGGGUGACGUUGAUCAAGGCACUGGGCUCACACGGGCCGCGCCCCGCGUGAUCUGUUGUCUCCAGGCAGGCUGCCCCACUUGGGUCGAUUCUUUGAUCCCGUGAGUUAAGAAUGACCAUGAUCGUGGCUGACUCCGGGUCUCAGGGUCAUCCUGGGGGCCAGGUGCUAGCUGCAUUCCUGGCCUGGAAGCAAUGAGCCCGUCCUACCCCUGUGUCACUCUGGAUGGUUUUGCAGAGGUGCCUCACCUGAUCCUGGGUAGAUGACAUCACCCUACAGUUAGCAAUCAAAACAACAAACCCAUGAAGGGCAGCUACAGCACGGGUGAAGUUUGAAAAUAUGCUCAAUGAGAGAAGGCAGCUACAAAAGGACACACAUUAUUCCAGUUCUGUGAAAUUCCACAGCAGGGUCUUACAGUGUAUCCCUGGCUGCCCUGGAGCUCACAAAGUACUUCUGCCUCAGCCUCCUGAGAACGGGGAUUACAAGGGUGUGUCAGCCUUGCUGGCUCUAAAAAAUAUGAUUUAAAAAAAUCUUCCACUUAUAAUAACACAAUUAAAUAUAAUAAAAGAUUUACAAUGUUCAUUUUAAAA